UACGGAGGAUGCGAGCGUUAUCCGGAUUUAUUGGGUUUAAAGGGUGCGUAGGCGGGAGAUUAAGUCGGUGGUGAAAUUUUGCAGCUCAACUGUAAAAGUGCCUUCGAAACUGGUUUCCUUGAGUGUAGAUGAAGUAGGCGGAAUUUGUGGUGUAGCGGUGAAAUGCAUAGAUAUCACGAGGAACUCCGAUUGCGAAGGCAGCUUACUAAGCUACUACUGACGCUCAGGCACGAAGGCGUGGGGAUCAAACAGGAUUAGAUACCCGCGUA
rnacentral:rRNA from 1 species